GCCAAGGCUAGAAGUAACCUAAAUUCAAAUAUGAACAGGGCAUGGUUCUAUUUCGUGUACGAGCCUUAACUUAGCUUGUAUCACUCAAUACAAACGCGCAAGGCUUAGAACUUCUCCGUUGCUCGCCAGUUGGUGGAAGGUUUCCUGUGGGAAAUCGUAUUCCAGCCUGUCCAUUUUACUUAUGCCCUUUGAAUUCGGAUGAAAAUUUGCUUCUGGCAGCACGACUCAAACCUCUAUAAAAAUGUAAUCAAGUUUCAUUUGGUUUGUUUGAAGUUUUUAUUUAUUUUUGUAUCCUUUGUUUGCUUCUGGUACUGCGAUUUUUUUUGCGCAUCUGCGUAGAGUAGGCGUCUUGAUUGUGCCUCGAAUUGAUGAUGGAUGAAUGCGGCAAAACUUGCUGUUUCUCUGCAGACGAAGAUGCAUUUGCAGGCAACAAAAUAUUAGCCCAGGGUUCCUAAGCGCAAGCUUGGUCACUUAUGUCCCUCAGCCCGGCGAAGGCACGCUGACAACGAAGAUCUCCUACCAAAGAGGGCGGUGCGAGCUUAGCCCAAGUGGGGUGAUCUCCCCAAUACGACAUGUCAACACACAGGGCAAGCCAUCGUCGUCCGCGCUAGGAAUAUGAAACCAAGGGCUGCCGAGGGACGACGACGAUGACAGGUCCAUGCCCGUUGUGCUUAGAUCACACUCGUCCUGCUUCAAGACCAUCACCUCGAUGUCUUUACCUUCCUUCCAUUUUCCCUCUCUCAUACGUCCUGGCCAUACUGCCUGAGAACUGCAGAGCUGCUUUAUUACCAUUUUUUCCUGCGCUAACCACCUCACCUACACAAAUAUAUAGUUAGGAGAGGAGGGGUUUCUGUAAUACUGCCUCCAGAGCACAAAAAUUCAAAUCUCCGAGCUCAGACGAGAAACGAAAGCCGGUGUCGUCGUGAAAGCACCCAUGUUCCCUGCAUUUCGGAGCAUAGCCCCGCCAAGGAGAUAAGGCGCCGUAGCGCGGCAGAAACGUGCGGUGGAGCAUUGCGGUGUCGGCGGUGCUGUGAUACGGAUCUGGGGUUUGUGGUUCGGAGUGUCACUAUGAGGGUCGCUUGUCUUCGCUGCUGGGGUACCUAAGACAUCAUAGCUGGCCUUCCCCAUAUCAGGGCGUCGCACUAAGCUGGCUAAACGAGCUGUCUGUCUCUAUCGCUCAGAGUUGCUUGUUGCUGAGGAGAUGAGGUCGGGAGGUUGAAAGAAACGUGAAACUAGUUUAUUUUACAUAUUCACAUAACUGGCUCCAGAUAUGGGAGCACACUCCACGUCGGAACACUUAAUAUGUCUGAGUUCACUGCAUGCCUAAGCACACUUGUCAACACACAUCACUGCACUAAAUGUGUCUGUUAUUAAAACAGUUCUUUUCACCACUGUU